CAACCCUUAAGCCCCUGUUGCUUAGCGUUGGGAGCCUACGGCACCGUAGCUCCCCAAAGUCAGUGGCGGAGUCGGCUCACACUCUAGACGUAGUAAUUUUCACCUCGCCUAUAGUUAGACCGGUCCCUUGCCGUAAACCCCCCUAAUUUUUAAAA
rnacentral:misc_RNA from 1 species